AUUGAACGCUGGCGGCAUGCUUUACACAUGCAAGUCGAACGGCAGCACAAACUUCGGUUUGGUGGCGAGUGGCGAACGGGUGAGUAAUGCAUCGGAACGUGUCCUAAAGUGGGGGAUAACGCAUCGAAAGAUGCGCUAAUACCGCAUAAUCUCUGAGGAGAAAAGUGGGGGAUCGAAAGACCUCAUGCUUUUGGAGCGGCCGAUGUCUGAUUAGCUAGUUGGUGGGGUAAUGGCCUACCAAGGCGACGAUCAGUAGUUGGUCUGAGAGGAUGGCCAGCCACACUGGGACUGAGACACGGCCCAGACUCCUACGGGAGGCAGCAGUGGGGAAUUUUGGACAAUGGGCGAAAGCCUGAUCCAGCAAUGCCGCGUGAGUGAAGAAGGCCUCGGUUG
rnacentral:rRNA from 1 species